CAUAAUUGCACCUUGAAAGUAGGUGUGUCUCUCCCUCCCACACACAGACUACACGGUUUCACUUCAGCCUCUGAUAUGUGAGAAAAGCGGACGUGACAGUUUGAGGAUCCUGUUCUGAUCAGACUGAUCUGGACACUGAGCUCAGUUCUGCUCCACCUGCUCCACCUUCACCUGCUCAGACCAAACAGUUUCACUUCAGUCUCUGAGCUCAGUUCUGCUCCACCUGCUCCACCUUCACCUGCUCAGGAAACUUUCGAACCUGCUCAUCAGCUUCUCUCCGUCUGGAGGAACUUCCUGAACAUGGCGAGUUUUGGCAGCAGGAGAAAUGCUGCUCACUCUGCAGCUUCAUUCAUCAAGAUGUACGACAGCUACGAGCCCAGGAUGGAACAGAUUGUGAACGAGCUUCAGAAGGUUCAUGAAGAAGUGAACAAACUGAAGCUGAUUUUAUUUGCAGGAGUAGCUGGUUUACUAGCAGCAGCUGUAUUAGCUUUACUCACUGCUCCGUUAACUGGAGGUCGGAGUUUAAUUAUAUUCAUGUUUUCAGUUAUUGUUUUCAUUAUAAUGCAGAAAACAGCAGCAAACCAAAUUGUAUGGAAAGUGAGCAGAUUAGUAGGAGAGUUCAGGACGAAGGUCUUAUCACUGAACAGUGUACUGGAAGUUGUGAAGAGUGCAUGUGAAGAUCUGCGGAGAAGAUCCAUCGGAGCUGAGGCCUUAAAGUUCAUCAGACUGGAGAUUGACAUACUGGAGCUGUGGGCUCUCAAUGAAAAACUACAAACUCCUGCAAAGUUAGAUCGGAUGUGGUUGCUGUUGUGGGAUUUAAAAAAUACUUUGUCCAGAUUUUUACAGAUGAAAACCAAACUGCAACAACUGGAAGAAAACACAGACAGAGGUGAGGGGCAUGCAGCACCCCCUACUGGUAAACAUUAUUACACCAAAAUCAUCCUAAAUUGGUUGUUUUCACCCAGUUUUAACAUAACAUGAUUAUCAUUAAAAAUAAUCUUCAGCUUCCUCCAUGUCUGUUGAAAAGCUCAUUUUAUACAAAUGGUAACUAUUUCCUUCACUUAUUACUGUUCCUCUCUGAAGAGCAGCUGUUGAGGGGAUGUGGAGGUUUUAUACGUUUCUCAACUUUAAGUUCAAGGUGAAUAAUAUUUUCUUAUGAUGGUUUUUAUUUUAUUUUAAAGAAAUUACAGACUCAUACUCUCAAUCAUAAUGAAUCGAAUGAAAACUGUGAAAUUAAGGUUGGUAAAAUAAUUCUGUGCUUGUGCGAGAGGAACAAAUGUGAAGAAUCCUUGAUAAUCAAAUGUUCAACUACAAUUCCCAAGGUGCAUUUCACCUACAAUCGAAGAGCUUCAAUCCUGUCACGUGCUCUGUAGACGUUGAUUCGAAUGUUAAACUGAAUAAAAACAUCCAGCUCUUUAAAAA